CACCAGGAGUGGAGCCUGCG
rnacentral:ncRNA from 3 species